GCGUUUAUCACGUGAUUUGGUGCAAACUGCGCAUUUGUUUUGAAAUCUGUGUUUGUGGUCAGAUGCUCAUUUUGAACAGAAAUUGAAAAACAAGACAGAAUUCAAAAUAUGAUCGUUCUGAACGAUACAUCCAGCAAAUCGAAAACAGCUCAUGAAUUUAAACUGCAACUCAGCCAAAUAUGUGUCGCGUGCACACACAAGGACAAUUAUGAAUAUACGUAUUUUAAAGAACAAUUAUACAGUUGGUUUUGCAAAUAUACUUUUCAUGAAUUUAUCGUCAGUGUUUCUUUGAGGUUUAUAUACAUAUUGAAAUGGAGGAAAAGUUCAGGAUGAAAGAGGAACAGAACUGGCUAAAAUGUUGGAUUGCAAAUUAUACGACUAGUGAUGUACUUGCACAAUUAGCCGACAUCGGAUUUAAAGCUUUUUAUACUCAUAUACGAAAUGAUAUUCAUUUAAAACACGGUAUACUUCCAACAAAGACAUGUUGUGCAUGCAGUAUGCCUUCUAAACAAUGUCAUCUGUGUUCAGAAAUAGGUAAUAGAAUUUGGAAUUACCAUCGCUUUAAACUAGCCCAAUUGAAAGGCCCAUCAUGGAAAAAUACGGAUAUCAGCAAAUGGUGUACUGACUCUUGGGAGCUAGCGAAGUGCUACAUGCCUUCCACGGGUUACAAGGAAAAGGCAAGUGCCGGCGAGACAGACUUCAAUGGCAUUAUUGGUGCCAUAUACAACUGUACCUGGAUGCAGAACUAUUUUACAGAUGAUCUUAGUCAGAAAACUAACAUCUGCACAAAGGCACGAGAUGAAGUUAAUGAACUACGGCACAAACAUGACAUGAACAUAGAUGAUCGGGCUAUGAUCAGCUUCUUCGAUUGUCUGUUACAUCUCCUUAAUGAUACUGCACACCUGAAUAGCUUCAAGCCGGCAGUGGAUGCACGCACUUACCUAACUCGGGUAAUGUUUCUUUUUGUGAGAAUAUUAUUGAAUCAUCAAUAAUUGAUAAUGAUAA